rnacentral:rRNA from 1 species
AUACGUAGGGGGCGGGCGUUGUCCGGAAUGAUUGGGCGUAAAGGGCGCGUAGGCGGCCUGUUAAGUCUGGAGUGAAAGUCCUGUUUUCAAGAUGGGAAUUGCUUUGGAUACUGAUGGGCUUGAGUGCAGGAGAGGUUAUCGGAAUUCCCGGUGUAGCGGUGCAAUGCGUAGAGAUCGGGAGGAACACCAGUGGCGAAGGCGGGUAACUGGACUGCAACUGACGCUGAGGCGCGAAAGUGUGGGGAGCAAACAGGAUUAGAUACCCUGGUAGUCCACACUGUAAACGAUGAAUGCUAGGUGUAAGAGGUAUCGACCCCUUUUGUGCCGGAGUUAACACAAUAAGCAUUCCGCCUGGGGAGUACGGCCGCAAGGUUGAAACUCAAAGGAAUUGACGGGG